rnacentral:rRNA from 1 species
CACGUAGGCGGAUCUUUAAGUCAGAGGUGAAAUCCCAAGGCUCAACCUUGGAACUGCCUUUGAUACUGGGGAUCUAGAGUCCGGGAGAGGUGAGUGGAACUGCGAGUGUAGAGGUGAAAUUCGUAGAUAUUCGCAAGAACACCAGUGGCGAAGGCAGCUCACUGGCCCGGUACUGACGCUGAGGUGCGAAAGCGUGGGGAGCAAACA